AAUUUUGAACAAUGGGCGCAAGCCUGAUCCAGCCAUUCCGCGUGCAGGAUGAAGGCCCUCGGGUUGUAAACUGCUUUUGUACGGAACGAAAAGGCUCUGGUUAAUACCUGGGGCUCAUGACGGUACCGGAAGAAUAAGCAUCGGCUAACUCCGUGCCAGCAGCCGCGGUAAGACGGAGGAUGCAAGUGUUAUCCGGAAUCACUGGGCGUAAAGCGUCUGUAGGUGGUUUAAUAAGUCAACUGUUAAAUCUUGAGGCUCAACCUCAAAAUCGCAGUCGAAACUAUUAGACUAGAGUAUAGUAGGGGUAAAGGGAAUUUCCGGUGGAGCGGUGAAAUGCGUAGAGAUUGGAAAGAACACCGAUGGCGAAGGCACUUUACUGGGCUAUUACUAACACUCAGAGACGAAAGCUAGGGUAGCAAA
rnacentral:rRNA from 1 species